GGGGAAUUAGCUCAGUUGGUAGAGCGAUUGUUUCGCAUACAAUAGGUCGGGGAUUCGAUUUCCCCAUUCUCCA
rfam:Fistulifera solaris DNA, contig: scaffold00007, strain: JPCC DA0580.